rnacentral:rRNA from 1 species
UACGUAGGUCGCAAGCGUUGUCCGGAUUUACUGGGCGUAAAGAGCGCGCAGGCGGCUGGUCAAGUCCGAUGUGAAAUCUCCCGGCUUAACUGGGAAACUGCAUCGGAAACUGAUCGGCUUGAAGGUGGGAGAGGGUAGUGGAAUUCCCGGUGUAGUGGUGAAAUGCGUAGAUAUCGGGAGGAACACCAGUGGCGAAGGCGACUACAUGGCCCAUUCUUGACGCUGAGGCGCGAAAGCUAGGGGAGCGAACGGG